rnacentral:rRNA from 1 species
GGUGAACGCUGGCGGUAUGCCUAACACAUGCAAGUCGAACGGCAGCACAGUAAGAUCUUGCUCUUACGGGUGGCGAGUGGCGGACGGGUGAGGAAUACAUCGGAAUCUACUUUUUCGUGGGGGAUAACGUAGGGAAACUUACGAUAAUACCGCAUACGACCUACGGGUGGAAUCAGUGGAUCUUCGGACCUUGCGCGAUUCUAUUAGCCGAUGUCGGAUUAGCUAGUUGGCGGGGUAAAGGCCCACCAAGGCAACGAUACGUAGCCGGUCUGAGAGGAUGAUCAGCCACACUGGAACUGAGACACGGUCCAGACUCCUACGGGAGGCAGCAGUGGGGAAUAUUGGACAAUGGGCGCAAGCCUGAUCCAGCCAUACCGCGUGGGUGAAGAAGGCCUUCGGGUUGUAAAGCACUUUUGUUGGGAAAGAAAAGCAGCAGGUUAAUACACCGCUGUUCUGACGGUACCCAAAGAAUAAGCACCGGCUAACUUCGUG